rnacentral:rRNA from 1 species
UGAGGAAUAUUGAGCAAUGGGCGAAAGCCUGACUCAGCAACGCCGCGUGGGCGAUGAAGGCCUUCGGGUCGUAAAGCCCUUUUCUGAGGGACGAGCAAGGACGGUACCUCAGGAAUAAGUCACGGCUAACUACGUGCCAGCAGCCGCGGUAAUACGUAGGUGGCCAGCGUUAUCCGGAAUUACUGGGCGUAAAGCGCGUGUAGGUGGUUCCGUUAGUCGGACGUGAAAUCUCCUGGCUUAACUGGGAGGGGCCGUUCGAUACUGCGGAUCUUGAGGUCGGGAGAGGGACGUGGAAUUCCCGGUGUAGUGGUGGAAUGCGUAGAUAUCGGGAGGAACACCAGUGGCGAAGGCGGCGUCCUGGCCCGCACCUGACACUCAGACGCGAAAGCGUGGGGAGCGAACGGGAUUAGAUACCCCGGUAGUCCACGCUGUAAACGGUGGAUACUAGGUGUUGGUGGCUAUCGUCAUCAGUGCCGUAGCUAACGCGUUAAGUAUCCCGCCUGAGGUCUACGGCCGCAAGGCUA